GACGUAGGGUCCAAGCGUUGUCCGGAUUUACUGGGCGUAAAGCGCACGUAGGCGGCUUUGUAAGUUAGAGGUGAAAGCCCGGGGCUCAACUCCGGAAUUGCCUUUAAGACUGCAUCGCUAGAAUUGUGGAGAGGUAAGUGGAAUUCCGAGUGUAGAGGUGAAAUUCGUAGAUAUUCGGAAGAACACCAGUGGCGAAGGCGACUUACUGGACACAUAUUGACGCUGAGGUGCGAAAGCGUGGGGAGCAAACAGG
rnacentral:rRNA from 1 species